GAUGAACGCUGGCGGCGUGCCUAAUACAUGCAAGUCGAGCGAACAGAUGAGGAGCUUGCUCCUCUGACGUUAGCGGCGGACGGGUGAGUAACACGUGGAUAACCUACCUAUAAGACUGGGAUAACUUCGGGAAACCGGAGCUAAUACCGGAUAAUAUAUUGAACCGCAUGGUUCAAUAGUGAAAGACGGUUUUGCUGUCACUUAUAGAUGGAUCCGCGCCGCAUUAGCUAGUUGGUAAGGUAACGGCUUACCAAGGCAACGAUGCGUAGCCGACCUGAGAGGGUGAUCGGCCACACUGGAACUGAGACACGGUCCAGACUCCUACGGUGGGCAGCAGUAGGGAAUCUUCCGCAAUGGGCGAAAGCCUGACGGAGCAACGCCGCGUGAGUGAUGAAGGUCUUCGGAUCGUAAAACUCUGUUAUUAGGGAAGAACAAAUGUGUAAGUAACUAUGCACGUCUUGACGGUACCUAAUCAGAAAGCCACGGCUAACUACGUG
rnacentral:rRNA from 1 species